rnacentral:rRNA from 1 species
UACGUAGGGGGCGAGCGUUGUCCGGAGUUACUGGGCGUAAAGGGCGCGCAGGCGGUCUGGUAAGUUUGGAGUGACAGUGCUCGGCUUAACUGAGCAAGGCCUUCGAAAACUGCUAGACUUGAGCACUCAAGAGGGACAUAGAAUUCCGGGCGGAGUGGUGAAAUGCGUAGAUAUCCGGAGGAAUACCAAAGGCGAAGGCAGUGUCCUGGGGAGUGUCUGACGCUCAGGCGCGAAAGCUAGGGGAGCGAACAGG